rnacentral:lncRNA from 1 species
GAUUUUGUGGAUUGGAAGUUGUUUGUUCCAGGGUUUGGAUUAUGCUUGUGUCUUUGUAAAUUACACAAGGUCCUGAAAUUGAUGUCGUGGUUGUUAUCAUAUUAAUAUGAGAGAGUGGACAGUAGGAGGAAAAGUUAAGUGUUCUUUGGUAUUGUAAGCAUUCAGUAGUAGUGGUUAAUUGUGUGAUCCUAAUAAGUGAAAUUCAUGCGCUUGGUCUUUCCCUGUGUUCGAAUUACCCUAUAUGGGUUUAUUCUGGGAGGUUUCUUCUGGAAUAAGUAAAACGACAAUCACAUUUUGGCGUCGCUGCCGAGGAUUGAUAAUAGCU